rnacentral:rRNA from 1 species
UACAGAGGUCUCAAGCGUUGUUCGGAUUCAUUGGGCGUAAAGGGUGCGUAGGCGGCGCGCUAAGUCAGGUGUGAAAUUUCGGAGCUUAACUCCGAAACUGCAUUUGAUACUGGCGUGCUUGAGGACUGGAGAGGAGACUGGAAUUCAUGGUGUAGCAGUGAAAUGCGUAGAGAUCAUGAGGAAGACCAGUGGCGAAGGCGGGUCUCUGGACGGUGACUGACGCUGAGACGCGAAAGCGUGGGGAGCAAACAGG